GCGAAAAUGGCGGAAUUGGUAUACGCGCUAGCUUGAGGGGUUAGUGGGAGCAAUCCCGUGGGGGUUCAAGUCCCCCUUUUCGCA
rnacentral:tRNA from 1 species